ACUCUUUCUCAAGGGCUUCUAG
rnacentral:miRNA from 1 species